rnacentral:rRNA from 1 species
ACGCUCGACACCUACUGGAGGCAGCAGUGGGGAAUAUUGCACAAUGGGGGAAACCCUGAUGCAGCGACGCCGCGUGAAGGAAGAAGUAUCUCGGUAUGUAAACUUCUAUCAGCAGGGAAGAAAGUGACGGUACCUGACUAAGAAGCCCCGGCUAACUACGUGCCGANNCGCGGAGUAUCNGNGGCGNGCGAGAG